UUUCCCUCUACCCAUUGCGGUGGUCAUCCAAGGUAAGAGGUGCCAAAGGCACCCGCCACCGCCUUCCGCAAGGAAGAGGGUAGAGGAGGAGGU
ncrna:unclassified sequences DTF1874 RNA